AAGCAGUUAACUCAAUCGGUAGAGUGUUUCGUUUACAACGAAACGGUUAACGGUUCGACUCCGUUACUGCUUA
rnacentral:tRNA from 1 species